UUUCAAUAAUGAGUAACCAUAAGUAUAUGUAACUAGUAAAGUGAAAAAAAUCCUUAUCAGCCAAUCCUGCAGAUAAAAGUAUUUUAUCUAAACGAAAAAUCACAUAAAUAGUAAACCAUCCGAUCUAAACUAGAAUAUACGAUAUUUAGUUAAAACGAUACGCUAAAAAUAAUAAUGGCACCACCACCACCACCGCACGAUCCCCAUAAGCCACAUGACCCUCACCACGAGCCUCACCAUCCCGGUCCUAAGUCAGGACCUGGUGGUCCUGGUGGUCCACAUGGAGGUCCUCAUGAUCCACCACCACCGCAUCACUAGAAUGUUCUAAUUUUAAUGCUCUCAAAAUAAAUUUAUUCAGUAUUAAGCAACUUUUUAUAUUUAUAAAAAAAUUAACUUGCCAACAAAUAAUUAAAUAUUUCUUCUACAGAAAAUAAAUAUUUCACAAACAAAGUAAA